rnacentral:rRNA from 1 species
CCAGACUCCUACGGGAGGCAGCAGUGGGGAAUAUUGCACAAUGGGGGAAACCCUGAUGCAGCAACGCCGCGUGAGUGAAGAAGUCAUUCGUGAUGUAAAGCUCUAUCAGCAGGGAAGAAAAUGACGGUACCUGAGUAAGGAGCCCCGGCUAACUCCGUGCCAGCAGCCGCGGUAAUACGGAGGAUGCGAGCGUUAUCCGGAUUUAUUGGGUUUAAAGGGUGCGUAGGCGGACUGGAAAGUCAGCGGUAAAAUCGAGAGGCUCAACCUCUUUCCGCCGUUGAAACUGUCGGUCUUGGGUGGGCGAGAAGUAUGCGGAAUGCGUGGUGUAGCGGUGAAAUGCAUAGAUAUCACGCAGAACUCCGAUUGCGAAGGCAGCAUACCGGCGCCCGACUGACGCUGAGGCACGAAAGCGUGGGUAUCGAACAGGAUUAGAUACCCUCGUACU